GAGCACGCCGCGUGAGGGAUGAAGGCCUCUGGGCUGUAAACCUCUUUUCUCAAGGAAGAAGACAUGACGGUACUUGAGGAAUAAGCCACGGCUAAUUCCGUGCCAGCAGCCGCGGUAAUACGGGAGUGGCAAGCGUUAUCCGGAAUUAUUGGGCGUAAAGCGUCCGCAGGCGGCCUUGUAAGUCUGUCGUUAAAGCGUGGAGCUUAACUCCAUUUCAGCGAUGGAAACUACAAGGCUUGAGUGUGGUAGGGGCAGAGGGAAUUCCCGGUGUAGCGGUGAAAUGCGUAGAUAUCGGGAAGAACACCAGUGGCGAAGGCGCUCUGCUGGGCCAUAACUGACGCUCAUGGACGAAAGCCAGGGGAGCGAAAGGGAUUAGAUACCCCUGUAGUCCUGGCCGUAAACGAUGAACACUAGGUGUCGGGGGAAUCGACCCCCUCGGUGUCGUAGCUAACGCGUUAAGUGUUCCGCCUGGGGAGUACGCACGCAAGUGUGAAACUCAAAGGAAUUGACGGGGGCCCGCACAAGCGGUGGAGUAUGUGGUUUAAUUCGAUGCAACGCGAAGAACCUUACCAGGGUUUGACAUCCUGCGAAUCCCUUGGAAACGAGGGAGUGCCUUCGGGAGCGCAGAGACGGGUGGUGCAUGGCUGUCGUCAGCUCGUGUCGUGAGAUGUUGGGUUAAGUCCCGCAACGAGCGCAACCCACGUCUUUAGUUGCCAGCAUUCAGUUGGACACUCUAGAGAGACCGCCGGUGAUAAACCGGAGGAAGGUGUGGAUGACGUCAAGUCAUCAUGCCCCUUACAUCCUGGGCUACACACGUACUACAAUGCUACGGACAAAGGGCAGCAAGCUCGCGAGAGUUAGCAAAUCCCAUGAACCGUGGCUCAGUUCAGAUCGUAGGCUGCAACUCGCCUACGUGAAGGAGGAAUCGCUAGUAAUCGCAGGUCAGCAUACUGCGGUGAAUACGUUCCCGGGCCUUGUACACACCGCCCGUCACACCAUGGAAGUUGGCCAUGCCCGAAGUCGUUACUCCAACCCUUGUGGAGGAGGACGCCGAAGGUGGGGCUGAUGACUGGGGUGAAGUCGUAACAAGGUAGCCGUACCGGAAGGUG
rnacentral:rRNA from 1 species